rnacentral:misc_RNA from 1 species
AGAGUUUGGAGAUUAAGCGCCUCAGUGGGAGAGAGCUUGGCAGAAAAACCAUGGAAAACAGUGUCGUAAGCGUGGAUAACGCGGGACUCAGCAGGAGGAGAAGAGGACGACGUCGUUUCAGAGGAGAGGGAGUAAAGGAAAGAGUCGUACCAGUGCUUGUGGAGAGUGAAAAUGGCAGGCUUGGCAUCAUAUUGAACUUUAACAAUGAAGGUUCUAGGCAGGUCAUUCGUAGAAGAAGAC